UCAUUUAUUCAUUCAACAGCUCAAAGGACUAGAAAAUGUAUUCGAAUAUGCAUCGCUUCAAGUGGAACUAAAAACUGAUAAGUGGAAAGACUUAAACAUCUCAUCAUGGCCAAGGGAAGAGUGUAUUAAGAGAAAACUGCAAAGAGACUGGUCAUCUUGUGGUCUGUGGAUGGUAAAUUUUAUGGAGUACUUCACAGGAGAUAUGUUGUCUAACAUUCCUACACAGGAACAUAUGACAGAUUUUAGAACAAAACUAGCUGUCAUUUUAGUGGACUCAGAAUUGAAUGAUGAUAAUAUAAGAAAUCGAGACAUGGAAGAGGACGAUAACAACACAGAUCCCACAGAAUGUAUGAUUCUGGAUAGACCCCCUCAGAAUUUCAAAACAUCAAAUACAUCAACAGAAGUUGAGCUCAUCUCGCGGUCAUUUAUUCUUUCACCGUCUGUCAACCCAACA